UGCCUCCCUUGGGGCUGUUGUGUCCCUCUUCUCCCCAGCCAGAACUGGAGACAAGAGUAGCCUGCUGAGGCCAUCGUCGGGACUGUGCGAACUUAGCAGCCUCAUUUUUCCUACCUCGCACAUCU